CUCAAAGGAAAAUUUCAUGAGAUUCAACGGUAGUUUAAGUGUAAUGAAUUUAAUCCCAUUGAUUACAAGUGGUCUCUGGUGAUUACUGAUGUCCCAGCUGCCUCCUGCAGCAGGAGUAUAUAGGACUCUCCAGAUAUUCUUUCCUUUAUCUCUUAUCCUUCCUACCUUUAAGUACCCAAGGACUGCUUUUGCACAAAAUAUUUCAGUUCCCUUGAGAACUGCCCUUCUUCUGUAAUACCACAGCCUAUUUCUUUAUUUUCUGCCCAGCCAGAAAACUGCAUUCCCUUGCCCACAGUGAUUGGUUCAGGAAUGGAAACAUCUGAAGACAAGUCAAUCAAAACCUAUAUCAAAGAAGUAGUAAAGAUGAGGAGGGGUAACUUCCUGAUGACUUUAUGGUACUCCCUGGAUUCCACUCUCCCUGUCAUGACUAAUUCCAUGUUUCAGAAACACCAGUCUACCUGUUGUUGUGGGUUUUGGGGGUCUUUUUGUUUCUUUUUUUUAUUGUGUCUGAUGCUUAUUUUUACAUAUGAUUACAUUUGUCUGUAGACUUUGGGUAAAGCAGAUUACUCUCCAUAAUGUGGGAGGCCCUCAUUUAAUCAGUUGAAGGCCUUAAGUUCAAAGACUGAAGUUUCCCAGAGUACUACAGAGUACAAUAUAGAACCUUGAUUGAGCCUAAUGCCCUGCAUAAUUUGGACUCAAGACUGUAACAUCAACUGUUAAUCUGAAUUUCCAGCCUGCUGGCCCACUCUGUAAGUUGCCCUUGUAAACACAAGUGAAUUCCUUAAAAUAUCACCCCUCAUGGAUUCUGUUUCUCUGGAGAACCCCAAUUAAUGCACUGACAAUGUACUUUAUCUUUGAAUUAUCCAAUGUCUUACUUUUGUGUUUGUUUUAGCUAGCUUGAAUAAAGUUUCCACCUGAAACUAAGAGUUGAACAGUCCAGAGUAUAAAUGGAUGGAGUCCCCUAUAGGUUAAUUUUUUUAUUGGUUGUUCAAAACAUUAUAAAACUCUUGACAUAUCAUAUUUCAUACAUUACAUAUACUGCAGUGCUAGAGAUCAGAUCCAGCAUGCUAAGCACAUGCCCUGCCUCUGAGCUAUACACCAGCCCUAAGCAAACAAUUUCUAUUCUGGCACUCCAGGCUUGGAACCUACUCUAGUGAGUUCUCUUUCCUUCUCCCAUAUUUUCUAGUUAGUUUUUAACCUAUUGCUUCCUUCUCCUUGAAGAGUAAAUAAACAAGAAACAAGAAUUAGAAACAACAGAAAAAGAAAGGAAGUAGAGAAAGAGUGUUUUUAAAUAACAGUGUUAAAAAUGACACAUGCAUUGUUUUCUCUGACAUAUAGAACGAAGAUAAACACAAAAAGUAAUUUUCUCAGGUUCCAGUUGUUUUUUAUCACUCAGACAGAAUGGUGCUCCAUAGAGCAUGAGGAACAUUGUGCUAUUGCAAACUCUCUGUACCAGAGCAGGAGGAAGCCAGUGCAUCUGACUCUUGCCAAAGACAGUUCUUCCAAGGGAACCUAGGGUGGCGGGAAUGGGGUUCUUUCAGGAGGCCAGUGAUUGUGUGUAGACAACUUGCCUAAGGGACCCUGACAACAGUCCCACAUGCCAUCUCUGUCAUGCUUGCUAUAGGUCAGACACCUACUCUUUUUUUCUUUUUCUUUCCACAUUUUUUUUAUUGGUAUGUAAUAGUUGUACAUAAUAAUGGGACUGACCUCUAAUCCU
rnacentral:lncRNA from 1 species